rnacentral:tRNA from 1 species
ACGUUUGUAGUGUAAUGGUAGCAUAUAAGUCUCCAAAACUUAAGGUUAAGGUUCGAAUCCUUACAAACGUG